GGCGGCGUAGCUCAGCUGGCUAGAGCGUUCGGUUCAUACCCGAAAGGUCGGGGGUUCGAUCCCCUUCGCCGCUACCA
rnacentral:tRNA from 2 species